AUACAGAGGGUGCAAGCGUUAAUCGGAUUUACUGGGCGUAAAGCGCGCGUAGGUGGCUAAUUAAGUCAAAUGUGAAAUCCCCGAGCUUAACUUGGGAAUUGCAUUCGAUACUGGUUAGCUAGAGUAUGGGAGAGGAUGGUAGAAUUCCAGGUGUAGCGGUGAAAUGCGUAGAGAUCUGGUGGAAUACCGAUGGCGAAGGCAGCCAUCUGGCCUAAUACUGACACUGAGGUGCGAAAGCAUGGGGAGCAAACAGGAUUAGAUACCCUGGUAGUCCAUGCCGUAAACGAUGUCUACUAGCCGUUGGGGCCCUUGAGGCUUUAGUGGCGCAGCUAACGCGAUAAGUAGACCGCCUGGGGAGUACGGUCGCAAGACUAAAACUCAAAUGAAUUGACGGGG
rnacentral:rRNA from 1 species